GACGAACGCUGGCGGCGUGCUUAACACAUGCAAGUCGAACGGAAAGGCCCUGCUUUUGUGGGGUGCUCGAGUGGCGAACGGGUGAGUAACACGUGAGUAACCUGCCCUUGACUUUGGGAUAACUUCAGGAAACUGGGGCUAAUACCGGAUAGGAGCUCCUGCUGCAUGGUGGGGGUUGGAAAGUUUCGGCGGUUGGGGAUGGACUCGCGGCUUAUCAGCUUGUUGGUGGGGUAGUGGCUUACCAAGGCUUUGACGGGUAGCCGGCCUGAGAGGGUGACCGGCCACAUUGGGACUGAGAUACGGCCCAGACUCCUACGGGAGGCAGCAGUGGGGAAUAUUGCACAAUGGGCGGAAGCCUGAUGCAGCAACGCCGCGUGCGGGAUGACGGCCUUCGGGUUGUAAACCGCUUUCGCCUGUGACGAAGCGUGAGUGACGGUAAUGGGUAAAGAAGCACCGGCUAACUACGUGCCAGCAGCCGCGGUGAUACGUAGGGUGCGAGCGUUGUCCGGAUUUAUUGGGCGUAAAGGGCUCGUAGGUGGUUGAUCGCGUCGGAAGUGUAAUCUUGGGGCUUAACCCUGAGCGUGCUUUCGAUACGGGUUGACUUGAGGAAGGUAGGGGAGAAUGAAAUUCCUGGUGGAGCGGUGGAAUGCGCAGAUAUCAGGAGGAACACCAGUGGCGAAGGCGGUUCUCUGGGCCUUUCCUGACGCUGAGGAGCGAAAGCGUGGGGAGCGAACAGGCUUAGAUACCCUGGUAGUCCACGCUGUAAACGGUGGGUACUAGGUGUGGGGUCCAUUCCACGGGUUCCGUGCCGUAGCUAACGCUUUAAGUACCCCGCCUGGGGAGUACGGCCGCAAGGCUAAAACUCAAAGGAAUUGACGGGGCCCCGCACAAGCGGCGGAGCAUGCGGAUUAAUUCGAUGCAACGCGUAGAACCUUACCUGGGUUUGACAUGGAUCGGGAGUGCUCAGAGAUGGGUGUGCCUCUUUUGGGGUCGGUUCACAGGUGGUGCAUGCCUGUCGUCAGCUCGUGUCGUGAGAUGUUGGGUUAAGUCCCGCAACGAGCGCAACCCUUGUUCACUGUUGCCAGCACGUUAUGGUGGGGACUCAGUGGAGACCGCCGGGGUCAACUCGGAGGAAGGUGGGGAUGACGUCAAGUCAUCAUGCCCCUUAUGUCCAGGGCUUCACGCAUGCUACAAUGGCUGGUACAGAGAGUGGCGAGCCUGUGAGGGUGAGCGAAUCUCGGAAAGCCGGUCUCAGUUCGGAUUGGGGUCUGCAACUCGACCUCAUGAAGUCGGAGUCGCUAGUAAUCGCAGAUCAGCAACGCUGCGGUGAAUACGUUCCCGGG
rnacentral:rRNA from 1 species